rnacentral:rRNA from 1 species
GAUGAACGCUGGCGGCGUGCCUAAUACAUGCAAGUCGAGCGAACAGAUAAGGAGCUUGCUCCUUUGACGUUAGCGGCGGACGGGUGAGUAACACGUGGGUAACCUACCUAUAAGACUGGGAUAACUUCGGGAAACCGGAGCUAAUACCGGAUAACAUUUCGAACCGCAUGGUUCGAUAGUGAAAGAUGGUUUUGCUAUCACUUAUAGAUGGACCCGCGCCGUAUUAGCUAGUUGGUAAGGUAACGGCUUACCAAGGCGACGAUACGUAGCCGACCUGAGAGGGUGAUCGGCCACACUGGAACUGAGACACGGUCCAGACUCCUACGGGAGGCAGCAGUAGGGAAUCUUCCGCAAUGGGCGAAAGCCUGACGGAGCAACGCCGCGUGAGUGAUGAAGGUCUUCGGAUCGUAAAACUCUGUUAUUAGGGAAGAACAUACGUGUAAGUAACUGUGCACGUCUUGACGGUACCUAAUCAGAAAGCCACGGCUAACUACGUG